AUUGUUUGCUACUCAGCCACGAAGAGAUAAGAAGCCUGUGUCAGAAUGCAUGUGAACACGCUGCUUGCUUCCUAGAAGCCUUGCUUUGAAAAAGAAGGUCUGCCCAUCCACAUCAUUUUGGCUGAAUGCGUGACCUAUCCAAUCCUUCCUCUCAUGGAAACACCAACUCAUCCAUGCCCUCUGUGCUGAAACUUCGUCUCAGCCUGCUGGAAUCACCUGCACCCCAUGGGAACUGUAGCCAUAUCUUCAGUCCUGUGAGCCCCCGUCAUGGCCUGUCACAGGAGUAAAUGAGGAGUAAGGCCCAGAAUACUCAGUACCUCUCAAUGACCCUCAGACGCUGUAGGAAGAGGAUUGGUUCACCUUUUAACCCAGAAUUUCUCACAUUGAAUGGACAGGAUGCAUUCCAAGAGGCCAGAGUAUGUGCAUCUCAGCUCCUGAUGGUUUCCACCACCACCAUUACUUUCUCUAUGUCAAGAUACCUGGGAAGCCGGUGUUUCAUUUGCAUUCUUGGAGCCCAGGAACUGUCUUCUACAAACUUUUCUUCCUAGUACCAUGUAAACGUACACAGGAAACGUUCAGAAAACAUCAGCCAAAUAGAAGAAUAAGGAAAUUCCUUCACUGACUAGAUAUUGGUGUUUGAUUCUGUCCUGCUUUGUACUCAAUGGCUAUUUCGGGGUUUCCAUUGCGGAAAACUAUUUGGAAAAUUGCAAGCCACGAGACAAGCCUCUAAGCUACUCCAGGAUCAUUGAGGACUCUCCAUGGGUUCUUAUUGUUAAAGAUCUUAACUCCUCAAGCCACUGCAUUUUUACUAUAUGCCUUGAACUACAAGAUGUGUUAAGAUUUAUAGGAUAAGGUUCUCAUCUCUAAAAACUCAUGGUCUCGAUGGAGAAGCAGUAUUUACACACAUGGAGAAGUUGAGAGUACUUGAAUGUGGAGUAUAAAGUGUGCGAUAUUGACAAGAAGCUCUACGAAAGUUCAGGAAGAGGAGGAGCAAGUGAGGAUGGAGAUGGACUUUGCAGAAUGGAGGAGAGGCAAAGAAACGGUUAGAAACAAUCUACAUAAUGAAAAGUCACUUUUGGGAGUUGUUUUAAGGCAGAGUAUCAUAUCGCAUCAAAACCGCUCCAUAAGUCCUGCCACUCCACGUGCAAUGCCAUGAACUUGAAGAAACUGCUGCUGCUGCAAACCAAUGGGCUUUGGGGAACUGUGCUUCCCUUCAGAAAGGAAAGAGUAUUUAACGAUGAAAAGGAAGGUGGAUUUUCCCUACUCAUGCUUCCUAGAGAUUUGGUGAGGAUUUGUUGAGUCAUGGGACAUUUCAGCUUGCCAAGCUUCUUUAGCUUUAGCACGUGUUUCCACCAGUGUCCCUUAACGGAGAGGAUGACUAUGUCACUGAAGAAGUGGAGGGGCUGAAAAUGGACUCAGCUCUUGGCCCCUGUAGAGACUGCAAGACUCCGUGCACAACGUGACAGUCGGGGCUUCCUCUGAGCACUGCGCCGUUCAGCCCUAUUGCGCAACCUGCCACGCCCUGUUACUGUAAAUGGAACACCGGCUGUGAGCUGGUCAAGGCCCUGCCAUGACAAGGCCACUUGCAUAGGACUCCAAAUUAAAAAAAAAAAAAAGGCCUUUCUUAUUGACUGAAAAACUGGUUGUGUUUUUCAUAUUUUUCACUUUCUGGAGCUGAAUUAUUAAUAGGCAAAAAUUAGGUGGGGCUUCAUUGAUAUUCUCACCAGCUUUUACAAACCAAGAAUCGGAAAGUGUGCCUCGGUGAGUUGCCUUUUGUUAGCAGUGUGGAGAUGCAGGCAAAAGUGAUCAGCGUGGUUUGUAUUUGCAGCCGCCCCUCCCCUCUCUUCAGAGUCUCUCCUUCCCGGCUGCAAGGUGCGUCUUUAAUGUGCGACACUGACAAGGCGUUUCAGCCAUGCAGCUAAUUAAUAUCAUGCCGAGGCUCAAUGUGACAGGUCCUUCAGACUCAUAAAUCAGAAACCACUAACAAAUGUCGUUCCUUUUCUGAUCUCUUUCUCUUGCUUUUUAAUAUGUUGAUUUACUUUCAGUAUGCAUAACCAAAAAAGAAACAAACCAAUAAAAAUACUGAUGAAAAUGCCGGGUGCCAUGGCUUGAAUGCGUUUUAGACUUUCCAAGCCAGCAAGACAACAGCCAGGAAAACAGCAAAGAAAAAAAAAUCACCCUUGCCUUUCAGGGUAUGGACAUAGGAGGAAAACAAAACAUCAGAUAGUGGUCUAUCCUUUAGAGACUAUGAGUCACUCCCCAGGGGCUGUAUCAAAACAGACCUAGUUACCUGGAGAAUACAAAAAAUGGCCUGGCCAAAGUUCAAACACUAGACUGACCAAACAAAAGGAUUCCCAGGGAAGAGGCGCUAAUCAAAGCUCUGACAGCACGCAGCCCUGAUGAAAAACGACUGUGGAGAAUUCCCAUUAAGGAUAUUUGAAACCACAGUUCUUAUCUUUCCCUCCUUCCCCUUCUCUCAGCUGGGGACCUGCAGACUAUCUUUUCCCUCCAAUCUUAUCCAUGUACCGGAGACAGACUGUGUUCACUUAGGUCAAAUGUGGUCAGGGUGGAGGGGUCAGGUUACAGCUCCCAGCUAAUGAAAAAACUGUAGCUUCAAAGUUGCCUGGUUUGCCAGUUCUCUCAAGAAGAUCCACAUCCAGUAAAAAUAAUUCUUAAAUUUACCCUACUGAUGGGAGCACCUGGAAAAAAGGAUUUUUUUUUUUAAGCCUGAAUAUCAAGUUUGAAAAAAGCCAAUUAUUAGCAGCCUGGAAGAAUGCUUUACAAGAUCUUGAAGAAAGAUAGACUUAAAGAAAAUAGUGGAAUAUUUUUUCAUUAAUUCAUAGCCACAAUAGUCCUAUUCUUAGAGAGCUUUCUUUUCACAGCCAUACUGAUUUUUCAAACACUAAUUUCCUCUUACUAGUUCUGCUCCUUGUGGAAUUUAUUAAAGAAAAGAAGAGUAGAGUCUUCUAUUUAUUGUGUGGUUGCCAGAUAAAGUAUCUAAACAUAAAAAUUAAAAAAUUGCUUAGAUUACAUAGACACAGGCACUUAAAUUUUAAAAGAUAAUGUUUAAAAAGAUAAAGUUAUCAGUUAUAUUCAUGGGAAUGAACAUUAAGCAUUCAUCAAAAAGAUUUUAAGAAAUAACUGGGAGUAAGGGGGAAUAAGAAUAUAAAAUUAAAAAGUAUUUCUCAGAAAAGCAUAGCACAGCAUGUCUGUAAUAGAAGGAAGCAAAAUAAAAUGUUACACAUUUUAAAUCAAGAAAGUUAUCAAAAUGUCUAAAUCCCUGCCCUAAAUCACUGAAAUGAUUAUGUACAUCCAUUCUGUCUCCCUCAAUGGAGAACACUUGCAAAUACAUAGGUCCUUUAAAAUGCUUUGGUGAGGAUGGAUAUGGUAACAUUGUGUCAGAGGCGUGUGAACCAGAGCACUUCCAUCUUGAACAGGGGCUGGGUGAAAUAUGGCUGAAACCUACUGAGCUGCAUUCCCAGAAGGUGAAGCCAUUGUAAGCCACAGAAUGAGCUAGAAGGUCAGCACAAGAUACAGGUCAUAAAGACCUUGCUGAUAAAACAGCUUGCAGUAAAGAAGCUGGCCAAAACCCACCAAAGCCAAGAUGGUGAGGACAGUGACCUCUGGUCAUCCUCACUGCUAUACUCCCACCAGCACCAUCACAGUUGACAGAUGCCCUGGCAUUGUCAGGAAGUUACUCUAUAUGGUCUAAAAAGGGGAGGCACUAAUAAUCCACCCCCUGUUUAGCAUAUCAUCACAAAAUAACCACAAAAAUGGGCAACCAGCAACCCUCAAGGGUUAUUCUUUUAUUCUUCUACUUUCUUAAUAAACUUGCUUUCACUUUACUCUAUGGACUUGUCCUGAAUUCUUUCUUGCACGAGAUCCAAGAACCCUCUCUCGGGGUCUGGAUCAGGACCUUCUUCCUGUAACAAUUGGGUGGACUAGGUUAUGCUGCAAUAACAAGCAACCCCAAAGUCAUGGUGACUUAAACCACAAAGAUUAUUUUUUGCUCCUGUUAUAUGUCAAUCAAGAUUCAGCAGGGCUGUUUUGUUCAUCACACUCGAAGAAUACAGGCUGAUGCCAAUGCUGGCUCAAGAGAGACCUGGGGAGUCUCUUCCCAGACCUGGGAAGAUCAUGAUCUUCUCAGAAGUGGGAAGGGACACAGACCUGUUCCAUUCACACUUCAUGAACCAAGUCAUGGCCAAUCCUAAACAUCAGAGUGUGGAAAGUGCAGUCCAACAUGAGGAAUAUCUUAUGGAGUGGGCAAUAUUGAUGUCUGUCUGGAAUGUUUGCAUUGGUUCUUUUUCAUCUGUGUUUUGACUUUCUUCUAACAGGUGUUGGCCUGUUUACAGAUGCCAAUAAAAUGCUUCUUUGAAUGUAACUUCUUCCUUUUGGAAUUCCAGGCAUCUUGCUAUCUGUAGAAAUCUCUUGGACUAAUAACAGGGUAUUGACAAUGGAUUUCAACGCAUAAUGCCUAAAGGCAGGUGCAAAUUUGAAAUUCCCAAGUCCUUGUUUGUCCUGGAAGUCAAGCCUCUUGCAAAGUUAAACGAUUUCAGUUUUUUCUCUUCCUGUUUUUUUCCUGUUUCUUUCCUCUAAUCAUCUUUAUCUCCCAGAUCUUGUCCCAUGGCCCCUGUUUUACUGACUAAAACAGAACUUGGUCUGAACUUUUAAAACAUAUUCUCCAAGGCUUCCAGCAUACCAUUUCUGCCAUAUUUUCAAGAUCAAUUGUGGAUGACCGUAAUAGAGCCAGACUCUGGCACCAAUGCACAGAGGAAAGAGUUUACAAAUAUUUAUAAAGAAAAAUGAUUGAAACUAAUUUUUUUUGUCAAAAUGAAAUUCAAGAUGAAGACUACACCCUUCCUUUUAAUCAGAAGGUGCACGAGGUUUAGGAGAAUGCAAUGAGAAAUGAAAUUCACAGGACUUGCUGGCUUCUAAUCUUCCUUAAAAAAUAAGAAAAUUAAAAAGGGAAAUUUAGGCUUUUUAUCAGGCCAAUUCAGAUAUGUUUUUGAGACAUGAUAUAAUAGUAAAUCACAGUAUAACAUUUACAUUAACAGGCUCUUGAAAAUAAUUGUUAUUGUAAAAACGAUACAUUUAUUGUAGAUAAUUAGGGAAAUAAUGAAAGGUAUAAAAAAAAAAAGAAUCAGCCAUAAUUUUAGCCUCUAGAAAUAAUAAUUGCAAGCAUUUUGUGUUGUCCUCCCAGCAUUUUCCCUGUCUCUGCAGUUUUUUUAUACAAUUAAAAAAUAUACUGCAAAGGGUAUAACUAUCGGUCCACAAAUUCAGACAUACUUGAAAUAUUAAUUUCCUUCAUUUUUUAAGGCUCAAGCUGAUUUCUUUCUUCUUUUUCUUCCCCCCUUUUUUAGAGACAGGGUCUUCCUCUGUCGCCCAGGCUAGAGCACAGUGGCAUGAUCACAGCUCACUGCAGCCUCAAACUUCUGGGUUUAAACAAUCCUCUUGUCCCAGCCUCCUGUGUAGCUAGGACUACAGGUCCAUGCUGCCAUGCCAGGCCAAUUUUUUAAUUUUUAUUUUUGUAGGGACAGGGUCUCAUUAUGUUCCUCAGACUGGUCUCAAACUCGUGGUCUCAAGUGAUCCUCCCUCCUUGACCUCCGAAAGUGCUGGGAUUACAGGCAUGAGCCACCAUGCCCCAUAUAGAUUAGUUUCUAUUUUAAGACCUCACUUUGCCUGGGAACUGAAAUUUAAUCUUGGUCAAUGUCAGCCAAGUUCCUUCUUUCUGGAGGUUUGUCUAAAUUGACAGGGGCUGGGGUAAUGGAGGACCAAGGCACGGGAAGGAGUGUACUCCAUCCUUGAACAAUCAUUUACAAAUGUAUCUGCAAAGUUUCUUCUUCCUGUUUGCAUUUUUUUCUUUAGUUCCUAAGCCUCUGCCUAGGAAACAAGGUCACAGGACCAAGCAAACUAUAGCUCUCUUAUUGAGGAACUCCCAAUUUCUUCUGUCCUAAAUCCAGUGGUACCUUUUUUUUUCCAAGUACAUGAACAUGCAAGUUAUCUACCUAUUACCUUUCUGCUCCACAUCCACCCUUUCUGUGCCGUGCUCUGUGAUUCUGGGACUGAGAUUCUGGAAACUAUUUUCCAGGCUCCUUUGCUGGCUGACUUUCUGCUAAUUCUGCAGCUGGAUGCAGCAGAAGAGGAUGGAAGGCAGAAGGAAGGGAAAAGUGGCUUCCUUCCCGAUUACUGCCAGUCCUGUCAGUGUUGCCCAAGACUGCCAAUUUGUUCCACCAGCAGCAGUGCCUUCGGACUUCUGCCUCAGUGUUUUCCAGCAGUCCCAGUGAGAGGUGACAACGCGCUAGCAGCCCUCACUUACUCUUGGCGCCUCCUGGGCCUCGGCGUCCACUCUGGCUGCGCUUGAGGAGCCCUUCAGCCCGCGGCUGCACUGUGGGAGCCCCUCUCUGGGCUGGCUGAGGCCGGAGCCAGCUCCCUCUGCUUGUGGGGAGAAGAAUCUUGGUCGUCCAGAAAGCUUGCUAUAGCUGCCCAGCAUUUGCCUCCUCCACAAAGAAGGACCAAAAGAACAAGUAGACAAUCACAUGCCAAAUAAAAUGUCUAAAGGAGAGCACUGAAGCUCAGCAAAAACGUUACAAAGACCCUCUGAGGUGCAGAAACUCGGGAUGGCAGCACAAAGAGGAAAGCAAAGCAGCCGGUCAGGAUCAGCUCACAGUCAAGGGCGCCCCGCCUUGAGUAGGAAAUGUAAGCAGGAGAUGCCCUGCAGGCAACAUUCCCACCACAAAUGCCUGCAAGCCUAGCUGUAGGAGAGCCUCGCAGUGUUGAGCCCAGUGCGGGAGCUGCCUGGAGUCUCUGUGACUACAUUACUCCAGAGAGGCCACUGGGUCCCUCCUUAGUCCCUGGGACCCAAGCCGCUGCAGCACAGUAUCAUUUUGAGGACAGAGCCACUGCCAGAAUGCUUCCUGUCCUGGGGCCCGGUAACCCCUGCAUGUCCUCAUCACUGGAGCCCCAAUAUCAUUCCACAGUUGUAUGAGGAGUAAAAAUAACUAUAAAUAAAGAUAACUCAAGAAUUCUAUAAGCAAGCAUACACAUGAAAUUCAUUUUAUAAGAGGAAAGCUAACUCCAUCUCUCUUGAAAUAUGGAAUAGGUUCUUGAAGCAAUUCUAAAUGCUGAUCUGCUGGAAUGAUGGCUUCAUUGCACAAGAAUUCUGCUUAGUUCAUUGAAGUCUCCUUGAAGAAGUCAGUCUGAGAAUGGGGGAAUUCCGUUGUUGGUCAGAAGAAUUCUUUGGUCACUAUUGGAAGUGGGUUCAGUUUAGGGUGACUAUUGAUCAACAGGGUUCAUGGGUUUGCUAAAACUCAUUUCAGGCAAGCUUUGGAAGUGCAGUUCGCUUGGUGCUUAUGGGGUUAAAAACAGGAGGAAGAGAAUUUCACAUUAUUGGAGGGCCUGAAAGGAAACUGAUUCCCGCAAGAUGCUCAGACAAGAUCAAACCCAGCCCCUUUUCUGGUUUGGAAUUUCUCUGGGCUAUAAAGGUAGAAGAAAAGGCCCUGCAUGGGCCCACUCUAAGUGCUUGGAGGUUUUAGAUAAUUUUAUUAAAUUGUAGAAUCUUAAACAGAACUACAAGGUUGCUUUUAAAACCAGAUCUCAGAUUUCUUUGAGCUAACAAAUGGUAAAAUGUAUCUUUAGUAUUAGAGUGAGAUAAAGGUAGUUAUAACUUUUUUUUUUACUUAUUUUAUGUUAACGUAUGCAACAAAGGGUACAAAUUGUAGGUACGCAGCUCAUUGAACUUUUAUGUCUGCACAUGCCUAUGAAACCAACACCCAGAGUAAGAUGCGGAUAAUUUUCUGCUCCCCUGAAAAUUCCCUUGUGCCUUUUCCUCAUCAGUACCUCCAAAGGUAACCACUAUUUUGAUUUCCAUUACCAUAGAUGAGUUAUACUUGUUUUUGAAAAGAUUAUUUGAAAUGUGUAAUAUAAAUAAUAGCGGUUGCUUAUCUUACAGAAAUAUCACUGAGAAUUCAUUUCUUCUCUCCUUCAUUUAUUCAUUUGUUCAAAACACUGUCUAGUACCAACAUUGUCCACCGGGCGUUGAGAAUACAAUAUUGAAGAAGAGUCACUGCCUGCCCUCUGGAAAAAUCAGAGUAUUUGAAAGAAUACACACAAGUAAACAGGCAGCUAUGGCAAAGUGGGUAAAAGCUGCAAAACAGGGAAGUUUCGCCAAGUGUCAGAUGCCAAGAAGUGUCAGAUGCCAAGAAGAAAGGGUGCAUGACAUAGACUUGGGGGGGUCAGUAGUGGUUUCUGGAACGAGUGACAUUUAGACUGAAACUGGAAGGAUAUGAGUAAGGGCUAAUCGGACCAAGAUGAAGAGAUACAGAAGCAGAAGGAACAGUAGGAACAAAUGCUCAGAGGCAAAAGAAAGCUUUGAAUAUUUGAGGAACUGAAAAGCAAAACAACAAAAAAUAGCCAUCCCUUGACUAGACAAGUGACCUGGGGUCAGAUCCUGAAGGGCUUUGCAGAUCACUUUUCCGCUUGUAGACUUUGUACUUGACUUUAAGGGCCAUGGAGAGCCACUGAAGCAUUUUCAGCAAGGGACUGUCAUCAGCAGAUUGGUAUUUGUUUUGAAGUAGCACAUGUAAGAGAAAAUAACAAUAUGGACAAAUAAAGAGUUUGAAAAACAACUUUGCUUUGAUACUUUAGGAUGAAAUAUCUGAGAUAGCAGCGCCCCCCCCCCCAUCAGCCAUUUUUAAUGACACUACUAUUUGAGCACAAGUUGCAAGAAAAUUUGCAACAAAUAGGCUUUUUCUGUAGAACACAAAGCAGGGAUGUUUGAACGAUGCAUUAUUUGAAUUCCAUCUUAGUAGGAAGCCAUCCAUAAUAGGAGGAAGUUGAGGAAUAGGCCUAAUGUUCACAGUGGCACAGGUGGCGUUUGCAUCUGCCUUCAAUGUUCCUAUGAUACGAAUCCUCCACUGCAGAAAAUUCCUCGUGGAAUUUUCUAUUUUAUGUGUUAAACUUUAUCGAAAUCUUUUCCUGAUGUUUAUAUUUCUGUGAUAAUCAUUAUUAAACUGAAAAAUGCGGAA
rnacentral:lncRNA from 1 species